GCAAUGGUGGACAGGCUCAGGCUGGGGCUGCUGCUUCUGGCACUGCUCCUACUUAUGCAGAUUUAUUCAAAUCAAACUAUUGUAACGUUUUCAAGUAACUCCUCCCAGGGUACCUUGUCUGCCCCAAACCCAGCUAAUGCCACCACCAAGGCAGUUGGCUGUGCCCUGCAGUCAACUGCCAGUCUCCUCAUGGUCUUGCUUUCUCUUCUAUAUUUCUACUGUUAA
rnacentral:lncRNA from 1 species